rnacentral:rRNA from 1 species
GGCGAGUGAAGCGGCAACAGCUCAAAUUUGAAAGCCCGCGGGCGUUGUAAUUUGCAGGCGGAUGUUUUGGGGCGGGCGCUGUCUACGUUCCUUGGAACAGGACGCCGCAGAGGGUGAGAGCCCCGUGCGAUGGCGCCUCUAACCGCGUAAAACUCCGCCGACGAGUCGAGUUGUUUGGGAAUGCAGCUCCAAGUGGGUGGUAAAUUCCAUCUAAAGCUAAAUACUGGCGAGAGACCGAUAGCGAACAAGUACAGUGAUGGAAAGAUGAAAAGCACUUUGAAAAGAGAGUGAAACAGCACGUGAAAUUGUUGAAAGGGAAGGGUAUGCGAUUAGCGGCCAGCAGGAGGUGCUUUCUCGUGAAAAGGCCGUGCACCGUCUUCGGACACCGUGCGCGGAGAUGGCGAGGGGGCGCCUGAGGUCUGCGAACUCGA